rnacentral:rRNA from 1 species
GGGGACAACUCGGGGAAACUCGAGCUAAUACCGCAUCGCCCUACGGGGGAAAGCGGGGGACUUCGGGCCUCGUGCUAUUAGAUGAGCCUGCGUUGGAUUAGCUAGUUGGUGGGGUAAAGGCCUACCAAGGCGACGAUCCAUAGCUGGUCUGAGAGGAUGAUCAGCCACACCGGGACUGAGACACGGCCCGGACUCCUACGGGAGGCAGCAGUGGGGAAUAUUGCGCAAUGGGCGAAAGCCUGACGCAGCCAUGCCGCGUGUGUGAAGAAGGGCUUCGGGUUGUAAAGCACUUUCAAUUGGGAGGAAGGUUCACGACUAAUACUCGUGAGCUGUGACGUUACCUUUAGAAGA